rnacentral:miRNA from 10 species
CAACCAGAUCAGAAAGUCGAUU